UGGGGAAUAUUGCGCAAUGGGCGAAAGCCUGACGCAGCGACGCCGCGUGGGUGAUGAAGGCCUUCGGGUCGUAAAACCCUGUCGGGUGGAACGAAUCUCCUCCCCUCUAAUACAGGAGAGGAUUGACGGUACCACCGAAGGAAGCCCCGGCUAACUACGUGCCAGCAGCCGCGGUAAUACGUAGGGGGCGAGCGUUGUUCGGAUUUACUGGGCGUAAAGAGCGCGUAGGUGGUUCGAUGAGUCGGAGGUGAAAUCCCUCGGCUUAACCGAGGACCCGCGUCCGAUACUGUCGAACUUGAGUGCAGGAGAGGAGAGCGGAAUUCCCAGUGUAGCGGUGAAAUGCGUAGAUAUUGGGAGGAACACCGGUGGCGAAGGCGGCUCUCUGGACUGUCACUGACACUGAGGCGCGAAAGCUAGGGGAGCAAACGGGAUUAGAUACCCCGGUAGUCCUAGCCGUAAACGAUGGGCACUAGGUGUGGGAGGUAUCGACCCCUUCCGUGCCGCAGCUAACGCAUUAAGUGCCCCGCCUGGGGAGUACGGCCGCAAGGUUG
rnacentral:rRNA from 1 species